CCUACGGGGGGCUGCAGUAGGGAAUAUUGGACAAUGGGGGGAACCCUGAUCCAGCCAUGCCGCGUGUGUGAAGAAGGCCCUCGGGUUGUAAAGCACUUUCAGUGAGGAAGAACGCCUGGUGGUUAAUACCCAUCAGGAAAGACAUCACUCACAGAAGAAGCACCGGCUAACUCCGUGCCAGCAGCCGCGGUAAUACGGAGGGUGCGAGCGUUAAUCGGAAUUACUGGGCGUAAAGCGCGCGUAGGUGGCUUGAUAAGCCGGUUGUGAAAGCCCCGGGCUCAACCUGGGAACGGCAUCCGGAACUGUCAAGCUAGAGUGCAGGAGAGGAAGGUAGAAUUCCCGGUGUAGCGGUGAAAUGCGUAGAGAUCGGGAGGAAUACCAGUGGCGAAGGCGGCCUUCUGGACUGACACUGACACUGAGGUGCGAAAGCGUGGGUAGCAAACAGGAUUAGAUACCCCAGUAGUC
rnacentral:rRNA from 1 species